rnacentral:ncRNA from 1 species
ACCUUUGGGGCGAGGUGAAAUUCCUCACCGGCAGUAAAAGUCUGCGAGCUGUUAUACAGCACGAACCGGUGUGAUUCCGGUACCGACAGUAAAGUCUGGAUGUGAAAAGGUG